rnacentral:rRNA from 1 species
CGAACGCUGGCGGCAGGCCUAACACAUGCAAGUCGAGCGCUUCCCUUCGGGGAGGAGCGGCGGACGGGUUAGUAACGCGUGGGAACAUACCCUUCUCUAAGGAAUAGCCACUGGAAACGGUGAGUAAUACCUUAUACGCCCUUCGGGGGAAAGAUUUAUCGGAGAUGGAUUGGCCCGCGUUAGAUUAGAUAGUUGGUGGGGUAAUGGCCUACCAAGUCUACGAUCUAUAGCUGGUUUUAGAGGAUGAUCAGCAACACUGGGACUGAGACACGGCCCAGACUCCUACGGGAGGCAGCAGUGGGGAAUCUUAGACAAUGGGCGCAAGCCUGAUCUAGCCAUGCCGCGUGAGUGAUGAAGGCCUUAGGGUCGUAAAGCUCUUUCGCCAGGGAUGAUAAUGACAGUACCUGGUAAAGAAACCCCGGCUAACUCC